CUUGCUGUUCCUUUCUUCUGCACUUUGGCUUCUAACAUGCACUGCUAGCCCUCCUCUUGUUGUUCCUUUCUUCGCUUGCGGCUUCUGUAUGAGUUGAUGUCCCCUCAGAAAGCGUACUUCCAUGGAACGACCCCGUACCCUCGGAAACAUCCCGGGUGCUCGGGAUUCCCAAGGGCCAAUUUGAGCUCAUCAUUCUCUCUAUCCACCUUCAACCUCCCAGCUUUAGCAUCUUCAAUGUUUUUGAUAAGCCUUUCGGCCUUCUGAUGUAUUGUUUUUUUGAAGACUAGUGUCCCAUCCUCUUUAAACCCCC
rnacentral:lncRNA from 1 species